UACGAAGGGGGCUAGCGUUGCUCGGAAUCACUGGACGUAAAGGGUGCGUAGGCGGGUCUUUAAGUCAGGGGUGAAAUCCUGGAGCUCAACUCCAGGACUGCCUUUGAUACUGAGGAUCUUGAGUUCGGGAGAGGUGAGUGGAACUGCGAGUGUAGAGGUGAAAUUCGUAGAUAUUCGCAAGAACACCAGUGGCGAAGGCGGCUCACUGGCCCGAUACUGACGCUGAGGCACGAAAGCGUGGGGAGCAAACAGG
rnacentral:rRNA from 1 species